rnacentral:rRNA from 1 species
AACGAACGCUGGCGGCAGGCCUAACACAUGCAAGUCGAACGCUCCAGCAAUGGAGAGUGGCAGACGGGUGAGUAACACGUGGGAACCUUCCCUUUGGUUCGGAAUAGCCCAGGGAAACUUGGGGUAAUACCGGAUAAGCCCUUACGGGGAAAGAUUUAUCGCCGAAGGAUGGGCCCGCGUCGGAUUAGCUAGUUGGUGGGGUAACGGCCUACCAAGGCGACGAUCCGUAGCUGGUCUGAGAGGAUGAUCAGCCACACUGGGACUGAGACACGGCCCAGACUCCUACGGGAGGCAGCAGUGGGGAAUAUUGGACAAUGGGCGCAAGCCUGAUCCAGCCAUGCCGCGUGAGUGACGAAGGUCUUCGGAUUGUAAAGCUCUUUUGGCGGGGACGAUAAUGACGGUACCCGCAGAAUAAGCCCCGGCUAACUUCGUGCCAGCCGCCGCAGUAA